rnacentral:rRNA from 1 species
UACGUAGGGUGCAGGCGUUAAUCGGAAUUACUGGGCGUAAAGCGUGCGCAGGCGGUUUGCUAAGAGAGAUGUGAAAUCCCCGGGCUUAACCUGGGAACUGCGUUUCUAACUGGCAGGCUUGAGUGUGGCAGAGGGGGGUGGAAUUCCACGUGUAGCAGUGAAAUGCGUAGAGAUGUGGAGGAACACCGAUGGCGAAGGCAGCCCCCUGGGCUAACACUGACGCUCAUGCGCGAAAGCGUGGGGAGCAAACGGG